GCCCGGGUGGCGGAAUUGGUAGACGCUGUGGACUUAAAAUCCACUGGAGGUCGUCCCUCCGUGCCGGUUCGAGUCCGGCCCCGGGCACCA
rnacentral:tRNA from 1 species